rnacentral:rRNA from 1 species
GGGUGCAAGCGUUAUCCGAAUUAUUGGGCGUAAAGGNNNNNGUAGGCCGCUUUAAUAAGUCCGAUGUGAAAUCCCCGGGCUUAACUCCGGAAGUGCAUUGGAUACUGUAAGGCUUGAGUAUUGGGAGAGGGUAGCGGAAUUCCUGGUGUAGAGGUGAAAUUCGUAGAUAUCAGGAGGAACACCGGUGGCGAAGGCGGCUACCUGGACCAAUACUGACGCUGAGGCGCGAAGGCGUGGGGAGCAAACAGGAUUAGAUACCCUGGUAGUCCACGCAGUAAACUUUGAUCACUAGGUGUAGCGGGUAUUGACCCCUGCUGUGCCGCMKAACGCAUUAAGUGAUCCGCC